rnacentral:rRNA from 1 species
AACGGACUCGUAUUGAAACCUAGUGAUAUAUGAGUUAGUGGCGGACGGGUGAGUAACGCGUGGAUAACCUGCCGUAUACAGGGGGAUAACACUUAGAAAUAGGUGCUAAUACCGCAUAAGCGCACAGCUUUGCAUGAAGCAGUGUGAAAAGCAAAAAGUUAAAACUUUUAGCGGUAUACGAUGGAUCCGCGUCUGAUUAGCCAGUUGGCGGGGUAACGGCCCACCAAAGCGACGAUCAGUAGCCGGCCUGAGAGGGCGGACGGCCACAUUGGGACUGAGACACGGCCCAGACUCCUACGGGAGGCAGCAGUGGGGAAUAUUGCACAAUGGGGGAAACCCUGAUACAGCGACGCCGCGUGAGUGAAGAAGUAAUUCGUUACGUAAAGCUCUAUCAGCAGGGAAGAAAAUGACGGUACCUGAGUAAGAAGCCCCGGCUAACUACGUGCCAGCAGCCGCGGUAAUACGUAGGGGGCAAGCGUUAUCCGGAUUUACUGGGUGUAAAGGGAGCGUAGACGGUACGCCAAGUCUGAAGUGAAAUGCCGCAGCUUAACUGCGGAACUGCUUUGGAAACUGGCGGGCUGGAGUGCGGG